AUUUCAACAUUGCUUGAAUUUAUUACAUAGUUAAUGUUAAGUUUAUAAAUUAUCUUCAUUUUACUAAUCAUCAAUCACGACCUCAUAUCAAGUGAGAUUACCCGCUGAAUUUAGCAUAUUAAUAAGCGGAGGAAAAGAAACUAACAAUGAUUCCUUUAGUAACGGCGAGUGAAGAAGGAAUAGCUCAAAUUUAAAAUCAUGAAUCUUUGGUUUAUGAAUUGUAGUUUUAGAAGUUGGAUUCGUUUUUCAAUAAUAUACUUAAAAUCCUUUGGAAAAAGGUAUCAUAGAAGGUGAAAAUCCUGUUUAUAGUAUAUUAAUUGAGGAACAUAUGUAUCUGAUUUCAAGAGUCGGGUUGUUUUGGGAAUGCAACCUAAAAUGGGUGGUAAAUCUCAUCUAAAGCUAAAUAUUGAUAGGAGACCGAUAGCAAACAAGUACCGUGAGG
rnacentral:rRNA from 1 species